GGGGCACCACCAGGAGUGGAGCCUGCGGCUUAUUUUGACUCAACACGGGGAAACUUACCCGGCCUGGACACUGGAAGGAUUGACAGAUUGAGAGCUCUUUCUUGAUUCAGUGGGUGGUGGUGCAUGGCCGUUCUUAGUUGGUGGAGCGAUUUGUCUGGUUAAUUCCGAUAACAAACGAGACUCUAGCCUAUUAAAUAGGCUCUCGGCUUUUAAACGCCGGGAGGACUUCUUAGAGGGACAGGUGGCGGUUCAGCCGCACGAAAGAGAGCAAUAACAGGUCUGUGAUGCCCUUUGUUGUCCGGGGCCGCACGCGCGCUACACUGAAGAGAUCAGCGUGCUUUACUUUCCUGCUCCGACCGGAGUGGGGAACCCAGUGAACCUUCUUCGUGAUUGGGAUAGAAGAUUGUAAUUAUUCUUCUUGAACGAGGAAUUCCCAGUAAAUGCGAGUCAUAAGCUCGCGUUGAUUACGUCCCUGCCCUUUGUACACACCGCCCGUCGCUACUACCGAUUGAACGAUUU
rnacentral:rRNA from 1 species